rnacentral:rRNA from 1 species
UCGCCCUUAGAGUUUGAUCCUGGCUCAGGACGAACGCUGGCGGCGUGCUUAAUACAUGCAAGUCGAACGAGAAAGUUCCUUCGGGGACGAGUAAAGUGGCGCACGGGUGAGUAACGCGUGGAUAAUCUGCCCUCAGGUGGGGAAUAUCCAGUCGAAAGAUUGGUUAAUACCGCAUAAUAUCCUUAUAUCUGCGGAGAAAAGGAUCAAAGAUUUAUCGCCUAAGGAGGAGUCCGCGUCCGAUUAGCCUGUUGGUGAGGUAAAGGCUCACCAAAGCUAUGAUCGGUAGCUGGUCUGAGAGGAUGAUCAGCCACACUGGGACUGAGACACGGCCCAGACUCCUACGGGAGGCAGCAGUAGGGAAUAUUGCACAAUGGGGGAAACCCUGAUGCAGCAACGCCGCGUGAGUGAUGAAGGCCCUCGGGUUGUAAAGCUCUGUUCUUGGGGAACAAAAAAAUGGGUGUACCCAAGAAGAAAGGACCGGCUAACUUCGUGCCAGCAGCCGCGGUAAGACGAGGGGUCCGAGCGUUGUCCGGAAUCAUUGGGCGUAAAGAGGGUGUA